rnacentral:rRNA from 1 species
UACGGGGGGGGGCAAGCGUUGUUCGGAAUUACUGGGCGUAAAGGGCUCGUAGGCGCCAACUAAGUCAGACGUGAAAUCCCUCGGCUUAACCGGGGAACUGCGUCUGAUACUGGAUGGCUUGAGGUUGGGAGAGGGAUGCGGAAUUCCAGGUGUAGCGGUGAAAUGCGUAGAUAUCUGGAGGAACACCGGUGGCGAAGGCGGCAUCCUGGACCGA